CAUCGUUCUUCAAUCUUGGUUUUCAUUAUGAAUCUUGUACGUUUUGAUGAAUCGAUCGCCACCGAUCAUCGUAAUUGUCCAGAUGUAUGCGAUUUGUGUAGUAUGCGUCUUCUUGAUGGACAUCGAUCUUAUCAUCUACGGGGUUCUACUUUUGAUUGUUGAAUAGGUUUAGUUCACGUUUUCUUGGAUCGAUACUGGUCCUUGAGGUUAUCACAAAGCCAAGAUUCGUCUCAGAUAAACAAGAUUUGAUGAUUAUACAGUAUCUUGAUGGACAAGAUUUAAUGACUGUGUAAAGUUCGUGUGCUGUUGGUUCGAUCGCUUUGUUGUGGUUCCUGCAACGCCAAGAUUCAGAAACUUGUUCUGAGAUGGACAAGUGGGUGAUGACUCUCCAUCAGUUUGGUUCUCUUCUUGCACGCUUCUGUUUGCAGUCAUAUGCGUAGAUAUCUUCAGCUCAUGCAGGGGUUUCACAAUGAUUGAUUGAAGAAUAGGUGUUUGAUCGAACAUCUUUGUUUAGGAUUUGUAUUGGCGAUGCAUGAAGUGUUGAUGUAUAGAUCAGGCAAGACUGCAGCAGUAGUGCACUUCAUCAUAACCCCGGGGCCUGUCCUGAUGGUUGGCUGGACAUGCUUGUUGGUGGGAGUCCCACCUUAGGUUGUAAACGUUCUGUUAUUGCAAUAAAAAAAUUCCCUCCUCCGUAAUGAACUUUGAGAAGCAGCAGCACGACGAUAUAACUUAAAGCCACAACAGCAACUUCAGUUAACCUGUGGGUGGAAUUAAGCGUCGUAGAGAAGCAGCCAGCAGCACGAAGAUAUAACUUAAAGCCACUGCAUUGGAGCAAGGUGUCCAGGAUGGGAAGAAUUUCAAAGACAUGAAGGUUGCAGCUUUCAACAGUAAACUUUAUCAUGGCUGUGUGUCUAAGGCAGGAAGUGAACAGAGUAGGAUGUGAAGAACUUUAUCAUGGCUGUUGUUCACUUUUGGUUUUGGUUUUGGUUUUGGUUUUGGUUUUAGUUUUAGUUUUAGGUUUGGUUUGUAUAGUAGUGCAGUUCAUCUUAACCCCGGGGCCUGUCCUGAUGGUUGAGUGGACAUGCUUGUUGGUGGGAGUCCCACCUUAGGUUGUAAACAUUCUGUUAUUUUAAUAAAAAUUUCAAUUUUAUCUAAGUGGUUUAAGUCAUG